GGGCGUACAGAUCAGUGGUAGAGCACGUGCUUGGCGUGCACAAGGUCCUGGGUUCAAUCCUCAGUGCCUCCG
rnacentral:tRNA from 1 species